AUGAAAAAAAAAGUAUCAGGUGGAUUAAAUAAUAAUAUUAAUAGUAAAGUAAACAAUGAUACAUAUCAGAGUGGACAUUUAAAUAAAAAACAGCAAGAAAAACUAAUAUCAGGUGAAUAUAUUUUAAAAAAUAAUACAACAUUAAACAAUAAUGUUGAAGAAAAAGGAAAAGAAAAAGGAACAGAAGAAGGAACAGAAGAAGAAGAAUAUUCCGAUUUUGUAACUUAUUUUACAAAUCGUAAAAAAAUAAAAGCAUUAUAUGAACAUUUAUUUAAAUAUUAUAUUUAUCGAAUAUUUUUAGUGGAUGAUAGUGUGUUGAAUAAAUGUGUUAAUUCCAUUAGAGAACAUAAUGAACAAUACAAUACAUUUCUGAAACAAAAGGAGAUGUCAGAAGGUAAAAAUAUAGAUUUGUUUGAAGAUAUAUAUAACAAAAAAAAUGAUAAAAACGGCAACAGUAACAGUAAUAAUAAAAAUUGUGCUAGUCAAAAUAGUGAAAACAAAAAUAGUGUUAAUAAGAGAAGUAAUCAAAAUUUUGACGAAUCACUUAUACAAACACAAGAUUAUAUUAUAAAUAGCAUAUUCGACGUUUUUUAUAACAUUUCUAAAUUUUAUCCACAUGACAGUGGAAGAAUUUUUGUUUUUAUUUUACAAGUAUUAAAUUUAAAAGCAGGAGAUGUUGUUUAUAUUAAACCAGGUGUUAUUCAUUCUUAUAUAAGUGGUGACUGUAUAGAAUGUAUGACUAAUUCCGAUUUAGUUAUAAGAGGGGGAUUAACAAGUAAAGAAGUAGACAAAUUAAAUUUCAUUAAAUAUGUUAACUAUAAAAAUAAUUACCCAUUAAUAUUAGAAAAAGAAUUUAUAAAUUAUAAUAUAAUCUCAUACAGUUAUAAAAAUAUGAAAUAUUUUAAAAUAUUAUAUAUAAAAAUUGGACCUGGUGAAACAGUUACUUAUAUGUUUUCGGAAAAAAGUUUUACUUCAUGUAUUGUUCUUUCGAAUAAUAAAAAAAUUAAAAUAAAAGGAAAAAAAUUUGAAAAAAAAAAGCAAGUAUUAAAGGCGUAA
rnacentral:lncRNA from 1 species